CUAGAGCUAAUACUUGCAUUGAUAUCCAGUUUUGGUUAACUGGAUGCAUUUAUUAGAUAUCCGAUCGCACGUAGUCGCAAGACUUCAGGCGAAAGGUGAUUCUAGAUGACUUUGCUGAUCGUAUGGCUUUAUGCUGACGACAGAUCAAUUAAAAUCGCGCCCUAUCAAUUUGUAGUUAGGAUAUUUUCCUAACUAGAUUGCGACGGGUGACGGGGAAUCAGGGUUCGAUUCCGGAGAGGCAGCUUGAGAUAUCGCUACCACAUCUAAGGAAGGCAGCAGGCGCGCAAAUUACCCACUCCCGAACUGGGGAGGUAGUGACGAGAAUUAUCGGUCUUACUCUUUGAGCAAAAGACCGGAAUGGACGAAAUUCAGGUCCAUUCGUGAAAACUAGCGAGGGGCAAGUCUGGUGCCAGCAGCCGCGGUAAUUCCAGCCUCGCAUGUAAAUGUAAAAUUUGUUGCAUUUAAAAAGCUCGUAGUCGGACAGUUUCACGACAUUUUGUUCAAAGCCAGCUGCAACUCGGCUAGCCAGUUACGAAGGGUUUUGAAUUGGUCAAUUAGUCGUUGCAACUGGAUGAAUAGUCGUGAACAAUCACAAGUUUCGCUUAUACACUUAAUUGUGUGUAGGACUGAAAAUUUGUGGACGUACCUUGAACAAAUCGGUUUGUUCAAAACAGGCCAUAUUGAGCGCCUGGACAUUCGAGCAUGGAAUGAUCGAUCGAGACCUGAUCGUUUG
rnacentral:rRNA from 1 species